rnacentral:rRNA from 1 species
CCAAGGGGCAAUAGCACAGUGAAUGCACCAGUUAUUAGUUUUUAAACGAAUCACUGAGGCUAAGCAACGGUGUGCGCGGUUGGUAUCUGAAUGGGUGACCGUCUGGGAAGAGAGUGAUUCAGUGGC